rnacentral:RNase_P_RNA from 1 species
UAAAUUGAAUAGUCGCUGGUAAAAUUCGAAAGGAUUUACGAGAGGAAAGUCCGGGCUCCGUAGAGCAAUGAUGCUAGAUAACGUCUAGUGAGGGAAACCUUAAGGAAAGUGCAACAGAAAAUAACCGCCUCUAUAUGUGUAGUUUUAACUACUUAUAAUCUAAUAAUAUUAUAUAAAAAUUAAAUUAAAGAAAAUAAAAUUUUCCUUAAAAAUUUGAGGUAAGGGUGAAAAGGCGAGGUAAGAGCUCACCGCCAGUAUGGUGACAUAUUGGGUCAGUGUAAACCCCAUCUGGAGCAACACCUAAGUAGAAGAUUAAGUCUGCUCGGCGUCUUCUGAAUUGCGUGGCUUGAUACAUAUAGCAAUAUAUGUACUAGAUAAAUGACUAUUUUAAAGGACAGAACCCGGCUUACAGAUUUACUUU